rnacentral:misc_RNA from 1 species
GAUGAAGAACGUAGCUAAAUGCGAUAAGUAAUGUGAAUUGCAGAAUUCAGUGAAUCAUCGAAUCUUUGAACGCACAUUGCGCCCGCCAGUAUUCUGGCGGGCAUGCCUGUUCGAGCGUCAUUUCAACCAUCAAGCCCCAGGCUUGUGUUGGGGACCUGCGGCUGCCGCAGGCCCUGAAAACCAGUGGCGGGCUCGCUGUCACACCGGGCGUAGUAGAUUUUAUCUCGCUCAGGGCGUGCUGCGGGUUCCGGCCGUUAAAAAGCCUUUUUUACCCAAGGUUGACCUCGGAUCAGGUAGGAAGACCCGCUGAACUUAAGCAUAUCAAUAAGCGGAGGA